CACAAAGACAGACGCUUCACGUUCCUGUGGAGCAGCAGAACCGCAGCAGAACCACCACAUGUUCUAUGGGUUCUUAUCAUCAGAACCUGAACUCCUGGACUGAACCGGCGCAGUUUUGUUUAAACCCAGAAACCCUGCAGAUGUCUGAAAGGGGGCGUGGCCACUCUUUCAGGUGAGUCCACCUGUGCUCAGACGGUUUCCUCCCUCAGAACCGCUGGAAGCAGACGGUUUUGCUGGAGAACCGACUCAGUGUUCUGUGUUUAUGAAUAAAGGUUUCAAUCAAUCAUUUUUGACAGUCAGGUACAAAGAAAACAAGAAAUCCUUUCAGUUCAGCUUUAAUGAGGUUAGUUUUCACUCAUGGAAACUGUUGAUUUAUUUACCUUUUAAGGUUCAUAUUUUUGAUGUUUACAUGUUUCAGUUUUUAUUCCUAAACAAAGAUGUGGUUUAAAGGAAAACUUUAUUCCUACUCUGUAAUUAGAAAUAAACACUUUUAAGCUCCUGGAUACAGAACAUUGAGUCUCACUUCAAACUCUAUAAACAUUAUUUUGUUUUCAAUCAGAAGAAGAAUAACUGUGGUGUUUAUGUCAUUUUAUAAAAUAAUUGAUUUUAUUUUCUAAAGUUGUUCUCGUCUGUUUUUCAGACUUUAUUAAACUAUUUAAAUAAAAAAUGUUUGUUGUUUUUCUGGAAUCGGAACAGAAACGGUUCCUUUCUGCCGGAAACGCUCCGUAAAUGUCGCGGCUCUUUCAGGUGAAUUUAGGAGGCGCGCGGACGCGGGCGCGCGCCCCGCUUCGGGUCAGCUCCGGACGGUUCGGCUUCAUUAAACAGAACAUCGAGUACUUUCUGGAUCCGGACUGGUUUCCGCGGUGACGCAGAUGAAAUUGACUCUGUUUUGUCCCUUCUGCGCUUCCGUAAUCGUCGUUUACCGCUACUUUGAUGCUGGGAUGGAAAUCUGCGAUGUUUUCUCUUCCAUCCUCUCCGCGGGUGCGUUACAUAUGUUCACCCGGGGAGCCCGCCUGCGCAGGGGGGUCCCCUUUAGCCCCUACUUCCUCCUCAGUUCCGGUUUUAAAUCGGUUAGCCCCCCCGCUCAGACACAAUCCCGUCGUUUAAACCCCGCAGGACGGACGCCGGGACGGUCCCGCACCCCUCCCGGUCUGGACGCGGACACUGAGCAGACGUUUGGAGCGGACCCGCGAACCCCAGCUCGCUUUGCUGGUGGAUCUGCUGAUGUGCAGAGUCUUUCCUCUGAAUGCAGCACGGUUCAGUCAGUCAGUGGGGAUCGAACCAACGUCUCCAUAACUGUGUCCUCAUCAGCAGAAACGUACCCCCCAUGUUCCAGGACUGGACCCUCUGUUGGAGCAUCUUCCUCAUCAUCAGCAGUUGCUGCUGUCAGUCCUUCAUGUUGAUGAAGACGCGUCUGAAGCCUUCAUCCUCCUCAUGGGCCGCAGAACUUAAGGUUCUGCUGCUCGUUUUCUGGAGGAUGGGAUGUUCUCCAUCAAGCAGACAUUUACGGUCAGCUUGUUCCCUUCAGUUUUCUGCUGAACCUGGGGUCCGUUUGUUCCACCCCCCACAUGGAGACCUGGUUCUGGAGGUGUUCCUGGUUUCCUGUUGGAUCUGCUCGCACGUCCAUCUUCAGGGACCUGAGCUCCGCUGACGGCCUGCAGAACCUGCUGGUUCUGCCUGCGUUUCUGGUUCUGCCUGCAUUUCUCCUCUCCGUCAGCAGAUGGCGCCCAAACCCCACGUGUGGUCUUCAUCAGGGAUGAAGAUCUGAUUCUCAGCUUCCAUUUCUCAUACCAAAGCAGAUCCGCUGUUUGAGUCCAGAAUUCCUGAAGGUUCUGGUGGUUCUCCUUAUCUGGACUGGGUUCUCGUCUCAACAUUUAUGAAAGCAUGAAGGAGAAGGUCCUGCAGUGGGGGGUGGGGAGGGGUCCUGUCUGGAGCUGCUGACAGCAGAUGGCAGAAGAAGGGAAUGAUGGGAAAACGCUCAUUAGCAUCAGGGAGAGUGUGACUGAUGAUUUCCCCCGAGCUGCAGAACCAUGAGAUGGUUCUAGGCUCCGUGCACGUGAGCGUGUGCACGUUUGGACUCCUCUUUUGGGGAUUAAAGUCAGUUUUUUUUCUCAGGAAA